CUGACAGGGCGGGGUGCAACCCGAGGGCCGGGCCGGGCCUCGCCGGCGGCUUCCCGGAACAAUAAGUCCCGGGGCUAAGUGUUGUAGGCGGGUCCCGGAGCUGGAGGGGCGCCUCCGCUGCCCCUCCCUGGGCGACGUCCGGGGAACGGCCCGGGGACCGCCGGACGCCGGCCCUCAUCCUUCGAAGCCCUCCGCCCGAAGCCCAGGAGCCCUCGGAGAGCCUGGCCUCCAGGCUGUGAGCAAAUGCCAAGCUAGCUGUGCUGACAGCUUCCACAUAUUCUCCCAUUCGGCCACUGAGCCUACUGUAGGAACACUGGAAUAGCAGGGUCUCAAUAUGUAGCCUUGGCCAGCCUGGAAUUCAUUCUGUAGACUAGGCUGGUCUCAGACUUACAGAGAUCCUCCUGCCUCUGCCAGCGGAGUGCUGGGAUUGAAGACAUGUGCCACCACGCCCAGCUCCAAGGCUCAUUCUGAAAGCAGCACUUACAACAGGAAUGUUUACUACAAAGCCACCAAAGUACCUCGACACCUGUAUCCACCAUCAUGCCUUCCUAUCCCAGGAGCUACUGAAUGGAGGAAGCCACAGCAAGACAAUAAGGAAGUUCUGAAAGAGCCGCAUUUCCUUCAUUAAAACCAGCAAAAAGCAUGAUUAGGACGUCCAAAUCCCUAAUUACAGGAUCACAGACCGUGGGAGCAGCAGGAGCCUGAUUAGCAUGCUGGCUCCCCGCUUCACAAAUAAGGAAACAGACUUAUUGCUAUCAAGGGUCAGUCUGAACAUCAAAGCCUGAGUUUCCUGAGGACUCUGAAUCUAGCCCCAGCCCAGUCAUCGUGUCUCCAGAACAAGUGUUAGCUGAAGUUAUCUUGAGGGCUGGACUCCUGUGAGCAACCUGAAAUUGGCUGCUUCUAUGGUAAGAAGAGGCUAGCCUCGGCAUCCCAACCAUAGAGCCAUUCUCUACCUGCUGCAGGGCACGAGGCAGAAUACCCCGGUGCUUGUAAUUCUCAGUUGCUCCCGUCAUGGUGUAUGUCUUGCCAGCUCCCGUCUGCCCAUAACACAUGAUGGUACCUGCAAACAUUUCAAAAUAUGGCUGAGUGGGACAUUUGGAAAAAAAUCACUCCAUGGACAACCCUGGUAUCCUCAACAUGCUUGGUGCUGCCCAGGGCUCUUGGUGUGAAGGUAGCCAAUAGAAACAUCCGCAGACAAUAGGGAGUCACCGUGGAAGAGAGCAAAUAUACACCCUCACUGUGUGAUCUACAUAGAGCUCUAUGCUUCCCUGUUCCCAGAUGGUGGUAGGGCUAGGGAACACUGUAGCUGAAACUUUUCUUGUAAAGAAUAAGAAGGCACUGGAGCAUUAGACUCCAGUCCUUCUCACGGCCAUGAACUGCAUGUGUCUGAGAGAUAGCAGGAGAUGCCCCACAGAGACAAAUUCCAGAAAGAGAUGGAGCAAGAAGGGUAUUGCUGUCAGUGGUAAGCUUUUUUGUAGAUCUGUUUGAGACAUGGUCUCAUGUAGCCCAUGUUGACAACAAGCUGCGUAGCCAAGAAUAACUUGAACUCCUCAUCCACCUGCUUCCAUUGCCCAAGUGCUGGGAUAGCCAGCCUGUGACACUAUACCUUGCUGAAAGAUUUAUUUAUAGACUACAAGGCUCCUAGCUAGUUCCAUGCCACUUCCAGAAAUGGGCAACUAUGUCAGGGCCAUGACCUAUGCCCAAAUGCCUACCCUGGGAAGACUUUAAUUUGUACCUUUUGACUACAUUAUCACCACCACCACCUUCUUUCUUCUCCUCCACCACCUCCCCUUCUUUACAACUAGGCUCUGGGAUGCAAACCAUUGUCACCUUGGGCUCUUAUUCCUAUUUCCUCUUGAACUGGAGCUACUCCAAAGAUUGCUGCUGUGAAUCUACAUGGCGGAACUGGUGAGGCUACCUAGGAGUCUGCUUGCCUUUGUUUCACAGGUGCUGGGAUUGGUGGUAGGUUUUAGAGGAGCAGCCCUAAGUCAGCACCUGGCUUGGAGCCAGGAGCAGGAAGCAAUUAGCCCACUGCUAAGGAGCCAAAACCUGCUUCAGCUGGGAUUCAGAACCCACCUGCAGUCCUGUAGCACCAAGCCUAAGACUGCUAAGCUCCCUAGUUCUCAGUUCCCCUCUCCCCACCCCUUUAUCUCCAGGCCAUAGCCUCUCAGGGAAUCAGGAAAAUAUCACCGAGUCAGUGGGGACCGGGGACCAUAUCUAUGGAUCACAUGCAGGAUUCAUUACAAUGCUGGAAACUCAAGACUCACUGGAUUUUCCACACAAAAUAGUCUGGCUAUAUAAUCCAAACUGUUCUCAAUUUCCUGAUCCUCCUGCCUUCACCUCCCAAAUGCUAGAUUUACAAGCAUGUGAGACCAUGCCUGGCUCUCUUCAUGCACUUUCCUAUAGAAAAGCCUAAAACUUUCAGAGCUACGUAUCUACAUAGAACAUGUGCUUAGUAUUUGUAAGGUUCUGUGUUUGAUACCUAGUACCAUGCAAGUAACUAACAGUCAAAAGCCUUGCAAACUAGGGACCAUUCUGAUCAGCAGCCACUGGAUGGACAGCAGAGUCUACAAACUGUAUUUUUAUUUUUAAGCUUUUUUAAUUUUCAGAUAGGGCUACAUGUAGCUCAGGCUGGCACCUAACUAGUAGGUAGCUGAGGAUGACUUUGAACCCUGAUAUUCUUGCCUCCACUUCAAAGUGACUAGAUUACAGAAAUUUCCUACUAUGUCACA